GCAGGCCUAACACAUGCAAGUCGAGCGGAAACGAUGGGAGCUUGCUCCCAGGCGUCGAGCGGCGGACGGGUGAGUAAUGCAUAGGAAUCUGCCCGAUAGUGGGGGAUAACCUGGGGAAACUCAGGCUAAUACCGCAUACGUCCUACGGGAGAAAGCAGGGGCUCUUCGGACCUUGCGCUAUCGGAUGAGCCUAUGUCGGAUUAGCUAGUUGGUGAGGUAAAGGCUCACCAAGGCGACGAUCCGUAGCUGGUCUGAGAGGAUGAUCAGCCACAUCGGGACUGAGACACGGCCCGAACUCCUACGGGAGGCAGCAGUGGGGAAUAUUGGACAAUGGGGGCAACCCUGAUCCAGCCAUGCCGCGUGUGUGAAGAAGGCCUUC
rnacentral:rRNA from 1 species